CCCAUUCGGUGCUUAGGGUUUAAAGUGAGAACCCACUCAUUUCAGCCCAUUUCUCCAUCAUUUCCCAUUAUAUUUUAAGAGCAUUUCGAGAGAGAGAGUGAAGGAAGAGGAAGAAGAGAGUGAAGGAAGAGGAAGAAGAAGUUGCUGCAGGUUGGAGGUUGAAGAAGGGAGGAAAAGCUCAUGCAGAUGCAACCAUGGAAGAAUUUGGGUUCAACCUACCUAUCUUUGGUUUUUAAGUCAGUUUGAGCUACAAAAGAAGAACUAAGAGGAAUACAGAGCACAGAAUUUUCGUCCAAAUCAAAAGGAUCUCUGCUUUUCUCUGGUUUUUCAAACAUUCUUGGGUGUACAGGUUGGUUUAGAAGCUCAAUUGGGUUUAAUUUUAGGAGAAAUGUAGAGGGUAGCAGAGAAGCACGAAUCUAUAUUCGCUAUGUUCGAGGGAUUUCUGGACAAAUCCGUUGGGAAUCUCGUUUUUAUUCCUUCAGAUAAGUUGUAGAGGGUUCCAAAAUGAAGAGUUUGAUAUAUAGUACAUUAAUUUUGGUCAAUUAUUGAGGAAGUUAUGAGUGUUUGAAGUUAGGGUAUUGAAUCUGGAAAAUCUGGAAAGAAAAUGUGGUGUGAUUUUAUUUCUAGAAUUUAGAAUUCAUGAGCAUGGAAAGACAAGAUGAUUUAUAGUUCUGAUGCUCGGUUUCGGUUGUUUGACAGGCCAAGAGGAAAUAGGCCAAGUUUACAGACCAGGGAACUAGCCAAGACUGUUAUAUUUCGUUGUUGAUGUUGAGUGUACUCCGUGACAAUGAUGCUGUCGGGAGUGCUGGGCGGGCCCCACUACGACAAAGACGAUGGGAGUGCUGGGCGGGCCCCACUACAUCGUAGAGCUAGUAAACGUAGGUAGAGAUCGAGCUCCGGUGCCUGAUAACUGCCAAAGUCUGUUUUCUCCUAAAAGGUUCCAGAUCAAGCUUCAUACAUGGGUGGAGUUGUACAUUGUGUCUGUUUAUAUUGUAAAUGUCUUUGUAAGAACUAGAUAGUUUAUGGUUGUGUAAGCACUAGAUGUCGUGGUUGUGUAAACCCCAGUUGGAUAUGUUUUUGGUUGUGAUAUCCCUAUCAGGUUAUUUUCCAAACCGAGUUAUGUCAGGACUGCACUUCAUGUGUGUCUAAAGAUUUUCAGGGAUUUCCGCUGUGUUGUGUUACCUGUAAAGUAUUUUAUAUCUAAGAUUAGUAUGUUUAUCAAGUUUAACGAUUCAGUAGGGUCAAUAGGUAUCGUUAGAGGAGGAUGAUGUCUGUUGGCUUCACGUCAUCACAAACCAGUUGUUCAUUAGAGGAUAGUAGGGACUUGAGAAAUAAGACGUAAUCUCGAGGGUAAAACAGAUAUUUGACCCAGCCGUUAUUACGAACAACCUGUGAAGGGUCGACUUGCUGAUGAUGGUUAAAUCUGUGGACAGAAUAUAUCUACAGUGAGGGGAGUC